rnacentral:rRNA from 1 species
AUUGAACGCUGGCGGCAGGCCUAACACAUGCAAGUCGAACGGUAACAGGAAGCAGCUUGCUGCCUUGCUGUCGAGUGGCGGACGGGUGAGUCAUGUCUGGGAAACUGCCUGAUGGAGGGGGUUAACUACUGGAAACGGUAGCUAAUACCGCAUAACGUCUCAAGACCAAAGAGGGGGACCUUCGGGCCUCUUGCCAUCGGAUGUGCCCGGAUGGGAUUAGCUAGUAGGUGGGGUAACGGCUCACCUAGGCGACGAUCCCUAGCUGGUCUGAGAGGAUGACCAGCCACACUGGAACUGAGACACGGUCCAGACUCCUACGGGAGGCAGCAGUGGGGAAUAUUGCACAAUGGGCGCAAGCCUGAUGCAGCCAUGCCGCGUGUAUGAAGAAGGCCUUCGGGUUGUAAAGUACUUUCAGCGGGGAGGAAGGAAGUAGUGUUAAUCCAUGCGCGCAUUGACGUUACCCAAAGAAGAAGCCACGGCUAACUACGUG